UACGUAGGGGGCGAGCGUUGUCCGGAGUUACUGGGCGUAAAGGGCGCGCAGGCGGUCUGGCAAGUUUGGCGUGACAGUGCUCGGCUUAACUGAGCAAGGCCUUCGAAAACUGCUAGACUUGAGCACUCAAGAGGGACAUAGAAUUCCGGGUGGAGUGGUGAAAUGCGUAGAUAUCCGGAGGAAUACCAAAGGCGAAGGCAGUGUCCUGGGGAGUGUCUGACGCUCAGGCGCGAAAGCUAGGGGAGCGAACAGG
rnacentral:rRNA from 1 species